rnacentral:rRNA from 1 species
AUUAAAGAUUUUGGCGGUAUUUUAGUCCAUUCAGAGGAACCUGUCCUGUAAUUGAUAAUCCACGAUUUAAUUUACUUGUUUUUUUAGUUUGUAUAUCGUCGUGGGUUGAAUAUUUUAUAAGAAUUAUAAUGUUCAAUAAAUAUAAAUUUAUUUUAUGUCAGAUCAAGGUGCAGCUUAUGAAUAAGAAGAGAUGGGUUACAAUAAAUUAUUUUUGGUUUAUUAGCUUUAAUGUUUUUAGUAAAUUGGAUUUGAAUGUAAUAUUUUUAAAUUUAUAGAUGUGAUUUUGGCUCUAAAAUAUGCACAUAUUGCCCGUCGCUCUCAUUUAAUAUGAGAUAAGUCGUAACAAAGUAGAUGUACUGGAAAGUGUAUCUAGAAAGAU